UACGUAGGUGACAAGCGUUGUCCGGAAUUAUUGGGCGUAAAGGGAGCGCAGGCGGUUGGAAUAGUCUGAUGUGAAAGCCCACGGCUUAACCGUGGAGGGUCAUUGGAAACUGGGAAACUUGAGUACAGAAGAGGAAUGUGGAACUCCAUGUGUAGCGGUGGAAUGCGUAGAUAUAUGGAAGAACACCAGUGGCGAAGGCGACAUUCUGGUCUGUUACUGACACUGAGGCUCGAAAGCGUGGGGAGCAAACAGG
rnacentral:rRNA from 1 species